rnacentral:rRNA from 1 species
UUAGCUUGUUGGCGGGGUAACGGCCCACCAAGGCAACGAUCAGUAGGGGUUCUGAGAGGAAGGUCCCCCACAUUGGAACUGAGACACGGUCCAAACUCCUACGGGAGGCAGCAGUGAGGAAUAUUGGUCAAUGGACGAGAGUCUGAACCAGCCAAGUAGCGUGCAGGAUGACGGCCCUAUGGGUUGUAAACUGCUUUUAUAAGGGAAUAAAGUGAGUCUCGUGAGGCUUUUUGCAUGUACCUUAUGAAUAAGGACCGGCUAAUUCCGUGCCAGCAGCCGCGGUAAUACGGAAGGUCCGGGCGUUAUCCGGAUUUAUUGGGUUUAAAGGAAGCGUAGGCCGGAGAUUAAGCGUGUUGUGAAAUGUAGAUGCUCAACAUUCUGCACUGCAGCGCGAACUGGUUUUCUUGAGUACGCACAAAGUGGGCGGAAUUCGUGGUGUAGCGGUGAAAUGCUUAGAUAUCACGAAGAACUCCGAUUGCGAAGGCAGCUCACUGGAGCGCAACUGACGCUGAAGCUCGAAAAGUGCGGGUAUCGAACAGGAUUAGAUACCCUGGUAGUCCGCACGGUAAACGAUGGAUGCCCGCUGUUGGUCUGAAUUAGGUUCAAGCGGCCGAA